UCCAAAGUAUACAUAUAGAAGAUGCUGAAAUUGGAAGUGAUACAAACAAGAUCAGCAUGGACCCUGCGACAGGGAUAACACGCAAGAUCGUGAAAUGCUCCAAAUUUUU
rnacentral:snRNA from 1 species